rnacentral:rRNA from 1 species
UACGUAGGGGGCAAGCGUUGUCCGGAAUCAUUGGGCGUAAAGAGCGUGUAGGCGGCUUGGUAGGUCCGCUGUGAAAACUCGAGGCUCAACCUCGGGACGUCGGCGGAAACCAUCUGGCUAGAGUCCGGAAGAGGAGAGUGGAAUUCCCGGUGUAGCGGUGAAAUGCGCAGAUAUCGGGAAGAACACCCGUGGCGAAGGCGGCUCUCUGGGACGGUACUGACGCUGAGACGCGAAAGCGUGGGGAGCGAACAGG